rnacentral:rRNA from 1 species
GACGAACGCUGGCGGCGGGCUUAACACAUGCAAGUCGAACGGAAAGGCCCUGCUUGUGUGGGGUGCUCGAGUGGCGAACGGGUGAGUAACACGUGAGUAACCUGCCCUUGACUUUGGGAUAACUUCAGGAAACUGGGGCUAAUACCGGAUAGGAGCUCCUGCUGCAUGGUGGGGGUUGGAAAGUUUGGGUGGUUGGGGAUGGACUCGCGGCUUAUCAGAUUGUUGGUGGGGUAGUGGUUUACCAAGGCUUUGACGGGUAGCCGGCCUGGGAGGGUGACCGGCCACAUUGGGACGGAGAUACGGCACAGACUCCUCCGGGAGGCAGCAGUGGGGAAUAUUGCACAAUGGGCGGAAGCCUACUGCAGCAACGCCGCGUGCGGGAUGACGGCCUUCGGGUUGUAAACCGCUUUCGCCUGUGACGAAGCGUGAGUGACGGUAAUGGGUAAAGAAGCACCGGCUAACUACGUG